rnacentral:rRNA from 1 species
UACGGAGGGGACUAGCGGUGUUCGGAAUUACUGGGCGUAAAGCGCGCGUAGGCGGAUUUGUAAGUCAGGGGGGAAAUCCCGGGGCUCAACCUCGGAACUGCCUUUGAUACUGCAAAUCUCGAGUCCGGAAGAGGUGAGUGGAAUUCCUAGUGUAGAGGUGAAAUUCGUAGAUAUUAGGAAGAACACCAGUGGCGAAGGCGGCUCACUGGUCCGGUACUGACGCUGAGGUGCGAAAGCGUGGGGAGCAAACAGG